rnacentral:rRNA from 1 species
ACAAGCGGUGGAGUAUGUGGUUUAAUUCGAUGCAACGCGAAGAACCUUACCUGGUCUUGACAUCCCGGAGACCCUUAGGAAACUAGGGGGUGCUUCCAUCUGGAAGAAUCUGGAGACAGGUGCUGCAUGGCUGUCGUCAGCUCGUGUCGUGAGAUGUUGGGUUAAGUCCCGCAACGAGCGCAACCCUUGCCUUUAGUUGCCAGCAGUUCGGCUGGGCACUCUAAAGGGACUGCCGGUGUUAAACCGGAGGAAGGUGGGGAUGACGUCAAGUCCUCAUGGCCUUUAUGACCAGGGCUACACACGUACUACAAUGGCCGAUACAAAGGGCAGCGACACUGCGAGGUGAAGCCAAUCCCGUAAAAUCGGUCUCAGUCCGGAUUGGAGUCUGCAACUCGACUCCAUGAAGUUGGAAUCGCUAGUAAUCGUGGAUCAGCAUGCCACGGUGAAUACCGUUCCCGGGCCUU